GUUUCUGCUAUCGGGCCCGUAACAGGAGCGUCUCAGGAACAUAAAAGCACCAUUACUUUGACAUGGCCAAAAAGUCGCCGGAGUUAGCCUUUAAGAAUGAAGAACAGAAGAUGAUAAAAAC
rnacentral:lncRNA from 1 species